GACGAACCGUGCGAACGUUAUUCGGAAUCACUGGGCUUAAAGCGCGUGUAGGCGCCCGGCGCGUCUUUCGCUGAAAUCCCCCGGCUCAACCGGGGAAGGGGCGGGGAUACGGCCGGGCUGGAGGGGGGUAGGGGGAUCGGGGAACUUCCGGUGGAGCGGUGAAAUGCGUUGAGAUCGGAAGGAACGCCCGCGGCGAAAGCGCGGUCCUGGACCCCACCUGACGCUGAGACGCGAAAGCCAGGGGAGCGAA
rnacentral:rRNA from 1 species